rnacentral:rRNA from 1 species
UGGGGAAUAUUGCACAAUGGGGGAAACCCUGAUGCAGCGACGCCGCGUGAAGGAAGAAGUAUCUCGGUAUGUAAACUUCUAUCAGCAGGGAAGAUAGUGACGGUACCUGACUAAGAAGCCCCGGCUAACUACGUGCCAGCAGCUGCGGUAAUCUCACUGU